rnacentral:rRNA from 1 species
GUCGAAGUCCGACUAGGCCCACGUUGCCGUCGUAGUAAGGCGUUAACGGGUAGGUAACCGUCGGGUACGUUAACGACGUACGUUCGAGGUAAGGGAGGUAGGUAGUUAGUAGUUACACGUGCUAAUUUGUGUAACGUCACAGAAGAAGCACCGGCUAACUCCGUGCCAGCAGCCGCGGUAAUACGGAGGGUGCGAGCGUUAAUCGGAAUUACUGGGCGUAAAGCGCAUGCAGGCGGUUCGUUAAGUUACAGAUGUGAAGACCGGGCGUCUAACCUCGGAAUAGCAUUUGAAACUGGCAGACUAGAGUACUGUAGAGGGGGGUAGGAAUUUCAGGUGUAGCGGUGAAAUGCGUAGAGAUCUGAAGGAAUACCGGUGGCGAAGGCGGCCCCCUCGGACAGAUACUGACACUCAGAUGCGAAAGCGUGGGGAGCAAACAGGAUUAGAUACCCUGGUAG